rnacentral:rRNA from 1 species
GAUGAACGCUGGCGGCGUGCCUAAUACAUGCAAGUCGAGCGAACAGACGAGGAGCUUGCUCCUCUGACGUUAGCGGCGGACGGGUGAGUAACACGUGGAUAACCUACCUAUAAGACUGGGAUAACUUCGGGAAACCGGAGCUAAUACCGGAUAAUAUAUUGAACCGCAUGGUUCAAUAGUGAAAGACGGUUUUGCUGUCACUUAUAGAUGGAUCCGCGCCGCAUUAGCUAGUUGGUAAGGUAACGGCUUACCAAGGCGACGAUGCGUAGCCGACCUGAGAGGGUGAUCGGCCACACUGGAACUGAGACACGGUCCAGACUCCUACGGGAGGCAGCAGUAGGGAAUCUUCCGCAAUGGGCGAAAGCCUGACGGAGCAACGCCGCGUGAGUGAUGAAGGUCUUCGGAUCGUAAAACUCUGUUAUUAGGGAAGAACAAAUGUGUAAGUAACGAUGCACGUCUUGACGGUACCUAAGCAGAAAACCACGGCUAACUACGU